CAUCCCGACGGUGCAAAAGGCAGUAGCAACCAAACACAUCACCAACUGAAUCUCCAUCACAAGGGCGUAGCUGAUCUCUUGCUUUGCCUUCUUGUACGUUAGUUCCACCAAAGGCAAUAUAAAUCCGUAUAAAGCCGCUGCAGCUAAGGUCAUUACGAACCCCAAAAUAUAUUCCUUGUUGGAUUCAUUCGCAGGCCGGUCGCUGCUCGAAUGCAAAGCCAGAACGCCAGCCCCUAUGGUCAACAAAAACACGGCGUUUAUGGAGUAGGCAGUGAACUUUUGUUUCACCAACAGGAAAGCAAACCCCGCCGUGAAAGCCAACUGCGACGCGAUGAUCAAAGAAGAAGUCGAAACGGGGAGACGAGAUAAGCCAUAGGAGUAGAAGUAGUUAUCGAGGCCACUGAGGAUCCCGAGGACGAUAGCGGCAAUGAACAACGGUCGUUCCAUACAGAAAACCUUGUUUUCCGAGGUGGGAUCGGCCGUCCUCGAACGAUGCACGUAAGCACAAGCGAUGGGGAGCAAGAUGAUGGGGCAACCCGCAGUCUGGAGCCAGCUCGAGAACCAGAUUCGGUUGCCACCAUGGAUGAAGUAGAGACGGGUGAUAAGUGGACCACCGCAGUUGCCUAUAGAAAGGAUGAUGCAGUUUAUUACUAAGAGAGCUUUUCUUAUGGUGCCGCCAUCCUUCACCUCCAUGAUUAAUUUAUCUGUUUUGUAUUUGGAUAUUUUUGCAUCUCUUUCCUCUGUUUCCAAGGUCUUUGUAGAAUGGAAAAAAGCCAAAGUAAGGAUAAGACAACCAUAUAGCUGCUGUUAUUGACUAAAACUGAAAAAGAAUAGCCUCUUUAGCCAAAGGGAUAUCAACUCGUUGUAUUAAAUUCCAUAAUUUACAUGCAUUUCGAAGCAACUAUAAGUAUUUUAAUCUAUGAUAUAGAUCAUAUUUGAUUUUAAAGAAAAAAUUCAUUCUUAAUCAAUUCGAUUCAUCCAGGGUUUAUCAAAGAGGGUCCAGUUUUUUUUACACCAGAGAAUUUUAUUGUCGAUGCAACGUCUAACAAACAUUCCAUAACUGUUGGUCUUCAUCAGCUCUCAAUAACAGCCAUGAAAUUUUGCGGUCGGGAUACUACUAGCUGCAUAUACAUAAUCCACUCAACUCACCAUAUUCAUUUCGUUUCAAUCUUGAAAUUUUUUAACACUACGCACUGAAUAUACAGUUAAACACUAACUAUUUUAUGCUGCAAUUGUUCUAAACGUUAUAUUACAUAGUAGCAUUAAAGAGGUUCUUUUUGUGUGUGUGUGUGUGUUUAAUAUAAGAAUAUAUUGAAGUCAUCUUUAACUAAUUUUGUCUAGUCUUAGUAUUGUAUCUAAGUAUCAUCUAUAAAUACCUUCACUUGCCACUAAGAUGAGAGUACAUUAUUGUAAUUUAAAUUUUUUAAAAUUUUAACAAAAUUCAGAUGAGAUAAAAUUAGAGGUGUUAUGGGACGAGUUGAGUAGGAUCGAGGUCAAGUUUAAAAAAUUUUCAAGUCAAGACUCACUUUUGGGUCAGUUUGGUCAACCCAAAAGCCCAUUUUACUAUUUUAAAAAUAAUAAAGUAUUAAAUUUUUUAUAUAUUUCUAUAAUUAAAUUUAAACUUAAAAUUUUUUAUUAUUUAAAUUAAAUUUGGGCUCGACCGAAUCAAAAUACAAAAAUCCUUAUCCAAACCUAACGUUGAACAGGUCUAAAUAUAAUUAAUUUAAAAAAUAUAAAAUAUAAUAAAAAUUAAUUUAAAUACUAAAAUUACUUCUUAAAAUACUAUCAAACUAUAGUAAAAUAACUCUAAAUAUGAGAGUUAUCCCACUCCAAAUUAAGAUUUUUGCUAGUCCCUAACAAAAGACAAAGAAAAAACAACAUAAUAAUUUAAACAACUCUAAAUUAAAUCUACUAGUCCUUGAUAUUCUCAAAAAUUGCCUCAAUAUCUUAGAUCCAAAUCCAAUUAAAAGAAUCUUUAUUCACUGUAAUUAAUGCUCAGUUAAAAAGUUAUAAAAUGGUCACUUAAUUAAUCGUGUUUAUCUUUUUUAGUCCAAUUCCAUUAUCUAUUGUUAACUUUGUGACGGAAAGUUGGCACGACAAUUUUUGAAUAAUAUAAUAUUAAAUUUAACCUUUAACGUUUACAAAUUGUAUUAAUUUGAUCUUGGUUCUAAAGAAAUUAAUCAUAAACAUUUAUACAUUAUUUCAAUUUGAUCUCGAUUCUAAAAAAAAUAAAAAAAUACAUAAUUUUUUUUAAAACAAUUUAUAAUAAAUUAAAAAAUGCAUAAAAGUUAUUAAAAUAUAAUAUAAUAUAUAUAAAUACAUAAAAAAUUAUAAGAAAAUAAAAAAAAACUAAAACUUUAUAAUAAUAAUAAAAACUUCGAUAAACAAAAUAAAAAUACACAUAAAACCUAAAAAAAUAAUUCAAAAAAACAAAAAAAAAAAAGAACGUACUAAAAAUUGAUAGCCGAUGAUGAUGAAGUUUAAGAAAUGCCAUUUCUCCAAUCCUCUGGUCCACAAAGUUGAAUUUUCUUUUUAUUACAAAAUAUCACUGAGUUAACUUUACCAACAAAUGACCUAAGCUAAAUACUAGAAUAUAAAUAUCAACCUCCGCUUCAUGCGGAUGACCCUUGGUCCCAUUAAAAUAUUUCUUACUUUGACCGAUUAGUAAGGGUUAAUUUGAUAAUGUUUUUGAAAAGUGCUUUUGAAAAGUGCUGUGAAAAAGUGCUUUUGAGAAGUGCUUUUGAAAAAUUUGGUUUAAAAUUUGAGUGUUUAGCAUUGCUGUUAAAAAGUACUUUUGAGAAAUAAAAUAUCAAUUUUAGACAUGUUAUUAUAAAGUAACAAAUAUGCAUUUAAAUAAUAUUUAAAUUAGUUAAUAUUAUUAUAUUUUAGUAAGAAUAUAAAAAAAUUAUUAUAACUUCUUGUUAAUAUUUUAAUAUAUAAAAUAUAAAUAUUAAUUAUUUAUAAAAUUUAAUUAGAACAUAUAAACUAUAUUUUAAAUAUUUAAAUAUAACUAUUAAAUAUUUGUAAUUAGUAUUUUAAAAAAUAUUUUUUAUUUUUAAUUAAUGAUUUUAACACAUUUGUAAUUAAGCACCAAGAAAAAAAGAGAGAAAGUACUAUGUUAUUGGAGGGGUAAAAAAGUAAUUAAGCAUUAAAAGUGUUUUUGAGGGAUGAAAAGUUAAAAAUUUUAGUUUCUCCUUUUCAAAAGUGCUUUUCAAAAGCACUUUUGAAAAGUUAAAAAUUUCAGCCAAAAGCAGCUUGUUUUGCACAGCUUUUCUUCCAGAAGUACUUUUGAAAAGCAAUGUAGAACUAGCCCUAACUGUGAGUCUUCGGCACCGGUCAGAUACCACUAUCUUUUUUAAUAUUAUAUGUGUAUAUAUAUUAUAUUUAUUAAAAAUAAAAAAAAUUAUAUAUAAUAUACAAAAUAAUUUAAAAAUAAAUUUGAAAAUAUUUCUUAUUAAAUUCUAAUAUAUAAAAUAUGAAAUUUUAAAAAUUCAAAAUAAUAUAUAAAAGAUGAUAAAUAUUUUAAAAAUUAAAAAAAAGUAAUUAAAUUUCAAGUAAUUGUAAAAAAAAAAACUUAAAAUUUAACUUUUUUCUUUGUAUGGGGUUGGCGUUGACUCUUGUUGUCUCCUCAAACAAGCAGUCGUGGAUCCACCAGCUCGCCCCGAAUUACGUGGUAGGUGACAUUUUUGGGAAGAACUGCACCUCAUCCAAUCCCUCAAGAGGUAAUAGUUCUGGAAUUAGAAUCCUAAUUUGGUUUUGAGGAUUUAGUUAGGUCUGCUUUGGAAGAGGGAAAGAGUAACAAUAAAUCUAAUCUAAAGUUUCGAUUUCACCACUUUUCUGGGUUUCAUUUUUCUUUUCGAGAGGGAAAAGUACAAGUGAAAUGAAAAUAUUUAUUAUAAUUUAUUAAAUGUUUUGAAAAUUCCAAUGUUUUCUUAAUUUGUUUUAUAUUUUUUCUGAUUAUUUUAAUUAGGCAAAAUUAAGAUAAUAUUUAAAUGUUGAAGGACUAAUUUUUUAAAAUCAUCACCAAACUAAAAAUAUUGAAAGUUAAAUUUAUAAUUAUAUCAAUUUUAAAACUCCUACAACAUCUCAUGUUACAAAGUUAAUGGUAAGUAACAGAGCUGAUUAAUUAAAUGAUUAUUUUAUAAAUUUUUUAUACUUAAGUGAUAAAAAUAAAAUCUAAACAUCACUUAAAUUUCUCAAAAAUUUAUUAUUUGUUUUACGAAACAUAAUAAAAGCAUAUUUCAUUAAAUUAUAUUAUAUUAUUAUUAUUAUUAUUAUUUGGCCUUAUUUCGAUAACUAAAUUAUCUCUUCCUUAUAGCUUUUGAUCUAAAAUGUUAACUAUAUUAAUAAAAAAAAAGGAACACACUUAAUCAAUGAGCACAAGUAACAUGUUUACUUCUUUUUCAUGUCAUCGAUGAUAUGACUGUUAAUCAAUAAUGUAGUCGUUAAUUGUUAUUGACCAAUAUAUUUUUUAAAAUUUUAAAUUUCUUUAAUAAUUAAAUAUUAAUAAGAUAUGAUUAAUAUGAGAUCCAUAUUUUAAUUUAACCGAAGUAAAUCUAUAAAUUCCAAAAUGGAGAAUUUAGAAUGUAAUGAAUAGUCAUGACAAGGACACUAUGGCAAAGGACAUUUUCUUAUCCAACUAUGCUAUCCAUGAAAUGAAUUCCUAUAAACAACUAAUAGUGGGGAUUACGAUGAAAACGAAUUUCUUCUUAGUUCUUUCCCCUCUCUAAUAUAUUUUUUUUAUUUUUAUUUUGGUAUUUAAUUUUUUUUCUCAAUUUUAUAUCUAAAGUACUAAUCACUUUUUAUUUUGGUGCUUAAAAUAUACUUUUAUUAUAUUUUUAAUUUAUUUUUUGAUAGACGUUAAAAAAAUUUAUAAUCAAGUGACGUCUUUAUAUAAAAAAUAAAUAUUUUUUUAUUAAAUGUAUAUAAACAUUAAAAUAUAAAAAAGUAAAUAAAUAUAUAAAAAAGUAAUAAUAUAUAUAAUAUGAAAAAAAAUAUAAUUUAUUAAAAAAUUUGAUAAUUAAAAAUAAAUUAGUUGAAAUUAAUGAUAUUAUUAUAAAAAAUUGUAAAAAAUUAUAAUUUUUUUAAUUUUUAUAUAAUUAUGAAAUUCUAAAAUUGUAUUUCAAAUUCAAGGGUUUUUUUUUUUAAAAUUACUUGAAAUUUAAAUACAAUUUCCAUUUUUAUAACAUUUAUCAAUUUUUAUAUAUUAUUUUGAAUUUUAAAUAUGCAUACUUUUAUAUUUUAGAAUUUUAUAAAAAUUAUUUUUAAAAUUUUAUUUUAAAUUUUUUAUAUAUUAUAUAUGACAUAUAAUGCACUAAAAUAUAUUAUGUGUAAAUAUUAUAUAUAUAUAUAUAAAUAUUAAUUAAUAAAAUAUAUAUUUAAUUUAAAUUUAAUAAUUCCACAAUUCUCUAUAUAAGUAUUACUUUUACAGCAUUAUCUAUAAUAUAUAUAAAAGUAUGAGUUUAGAAAAACUUUUAAAUUGACCGAGAAUAUCAUUUAUUUUCUAUAAUAUUACUAAAUUAAGUUUAAAAAUAAUUAUAUCUUAAUUUAAAAUUAUUAGUUAAAAGGUUUGCUAAUUUUAAAAUAAGAGUUAUUACUUGCCUAGGGCACUAAACAUAACACAAUAAAUAAUUAUAAUUUAAUUUAAUUUAAUCUACAAUUGACGUAAAAAAAAUUGAAUUAAUCUUAAUUUUUUAAAAUUGUGCUAAUUUUAUGAUUGUAAUUGAAUUAAUCUUGUUAUUCUUUAUGCAAUAUAAAUUCACACAAUUUGCUUUGAUUUACAUACUAUAUAAACUAUAAUCUUGAGUUGGACUUUUUUAUGCAAGCAAAUAGUUCCACCAACUCAAUCCUAAAGCAGAUGACCUAUGAGUAGCAUCGCAGUUUCUAUGAACUGAAUCCCCAUAAAAGAACUAAUAGCCAACCAAACUUGGCACUUGGAAUUUGUUAGGGAUGACUAUGAUCACCAACCCUUAAACACUGCUUUUGAGAGUAUUGGAAGGCAGAGAAGAGGCCAUCUCAAUUUCAGGAUCUGGUUUCUUCUUUUUACUUUGUUUGAUUUCACCAUAAAAGUAGGAAAUGAAGCCCCACAGCGAGAGAGCAAGUGACACACCCUUCUCGGCUUGAAACUUCUCAUUGAAGGAAAAUAUUGCCAAAAUCUCUGUAACUGGUAAUAGAACCGCUAUCACUACACCCGAUAGCAUUGAUGACGCACAAAAUACUACUCCAAUAGCUCCCAAGAAGAAACAUUGAUUUAUUAUUGCAGUAAAAAUCACAACCACAUAGUAUUUUGUUUCUCCUAGCUCGAAUUCCCUUGCUUCCUUUCCGAUCACCUACAAAUAGAAAUAACCUUUCAAGUUAUUACAUACAUGUUCAUUGUAGUUAUAAAGUGAAAUCAUUAUAUUAAAUAAAACCUUUUUAAUUAAGAUUAAUAAACUCGGCUUCAGUUUCCUUCUUAAAAAAGGGUUUAUCAGCAUAGCUACUUGACACUAUAUUAUUUCAUACCCUAUAGGUCAAUUAUGUGGAUUUCAUCAAUUAACAAAUUUAAUUAAUAUUAAACUUUUAAAUUAUAUUUAUUUUUAAGCAUUAAAAACGAAACGUGAGCAUAUGGUUUUCUUUUUGUAUUAAAUUUUGAAAAAAGAAUCAAACUAUAAUGUUAUAAUCAACUGUACAAGAGGGCAGAGAUUAUACUCCCUUAUCGAUAUCAUAAAAAUGAAUUUAGAUUUGAUUUUUUGCAUGCAGAUUGAUAUACUAAAUAUAAAAUAGUUAAUAAGUUUAUAAACUAAAAAAAAAAAAAAAAAACUAUUUCGUCAGACUCACUUGUCCUGAAAGAAGAGGAAUAGCUAAGAAAGAGGCGAAAAAACAAACCUUGAAAUCAUUGUUGACCAGCAUCCCAACGGUGCAAAAGCCAGUAGCAACCAAACACAUCACCAACUGAAUCUCCAUCACAAGGGCGUAGCUGAUCUCUUGCUUUGCCUUCUUGUACGUUAGUUCCACCAAAGGCAAUACAAAUCCGUACAAAGCCGCUGCAGCUAAGGUCAUUACGAACCCCAAAAUAUAUUCCUUGUUGGAUUCAUUCUCAGGCCGGUCGCUGCUCGAAUGCAAAGCCAGAACGCCAGCCCCUAUGGUCAACAAAAACACGGCGUUUAUGGAGUAGGCAGUGAACUUUUGUUUCACCAAC
rnacentral:lncRNA from 1 species